rnacentral:rRNA from 1 species
AUACGUAGGUGGCAAGCGUUGUCCGGAAUUACUGGGCGUAAAGGGCGAGUAGGCGGUUACUUAAGUCAGGUGUGAAAACUGCGGGCUCAACCCGGAGAUUGCACCUGAUACUGGGUGACUUGAGUGCAGGAGAGGGCAGUGGAAUUCCUAGUGUAGCGGUGAAAUGCGUAGAUAUUAGGAGGAACACCAGUGGCGAAGGCGGCUGUCUGGACUGUAACUGACGCUGAGGCGCGAAAGCGUGGGGAGCAAACAGGAUUAGAUACCCUGGUAGUCCACGCCGUAAACGAUGGGUACUAGGUGUAGAGGGUAUCGACCCCUUCUGUGCCGGAGUUAACACAAUAAGUACCCCGCCUGGGGAGUACGGCCGCAAGGUUGAA